UGCCAGUCUUCCGCCACUCCUUUUUGUGGUCCUUCCCUUCGCUGCCUUCCUUCUCCUAGACACACUGGGCAUCCAGUUCCAAUCCAAAGGCUGUCCCUUUGACCAGGCCCAUCUCCUCCACCUCACAUCAGAUGGUCAAUCAGCUGCUCAGACCUCUAAACCUCAGUAACCUAGCAGGAAAUGGCCCUUGGCAAACGUGUGUCAGGAGAGAAUGACUUAAAGGUGUCUACCGUUGUUUCUUACUGAAGAUGCCUAGAAGUCAAUUGGGGUCAAGGAACAAGCCUCUACUCACAUGCAUUUGGGCAAAUGAAGUCACAGAACAAAUAACCUACCCUGCAUCCAGGCACUGAGUCCAGGGACACCCUCUGCUGCUGCCUCACCUGAGAGAAAGUGGCCCAAGAAGCAUUGGCCCAGUGCCUGUUGCUGCCAGGAGCCCUCUGCCACAGCCUGACACAGCAUCCUGCACUCUCCCCUUCCAGCCCCUCCCCGAAAGCGUGGGCCACAGGUACCACUCCCUAUGCCACUGAGCCCCACAUGUCCCAUCCCCCAAGCCACCCCCGCCCAGCCCCAGAGCUUUCCUACAUUUAUGAUUUGUCCAAAAAGGUGACGUCCUUCAGCCCCCAGAAGGUCAUCCUCCAGGCUGUGACCAUCACACAGGAUGUCUUGCACGGGGUCCUCAUGGGCCUUCAGCCCAGCACAAAUCGUGGUCUGGUUUGACCUUUGAAAUAUCUCAACAUCUAAAAUUCAGAGCUUUUUUGGAAUAUUUAUCAUUUUCCAUAGAUAUAAUUCUUUCAAAUAAAUUCCUUAGA